ACACGGAGGGCGCAAGCGUUGCUCGGAAUCACUGGGCGUAAAGCGGGUGUAGGCGGUCUAGCAAGUCAGAUGUGAAAGCCCACGGCUCAACCGUGGAAGUGCAUCUGAAACUGCAAGACUUGAGUGCCGGAGAGGGAAGUGGAAUUCCUGGUGUAGGGGUGAAAUCCGUAGAUAUCAGGAGGAACACCGGUGGCGAAGGCGACUUCCUGGACGGCCACUGACGCUGAGACCCGAAAGCGUGGGGAGCAAACAGGAUUAGAAACCCCAGUAGUCC
rnacentral:rRNA from 1 species